rnacentral:rRNA from 1 species
CAGUCGCCACGGUAAUACGUAGGCGGCAAGCGUUGUCCGGAAUUAUUGGGCGUAAAGGGCUCGCAGGCGGUUUCUUAAGUCUGAUGUGAAAGCCCCCGGCUCAACCGGGGAGGGUCAUUGGAAACUGGGAAACUUGAGUGCAGAAGAGGAGAGUGGAAUUCCACGUGUAGCGGCGAAAUGCGUAGAGAUGUGGAGGAACACCAGUGGCGAAGGCGACUCUCUGGUCUGUAACUGACGCUGAGGAGCGAAAGCGUGGGGAGCGAACAGGAUUAGAUACCCGAGUAGUCCCUGUCUCUUAUAA